GGGGCUGUGGCUCAGCGGCAGAGCACCUGCGUGCCAUACAGAAGGUCCCAGGUUCAAUCCCUGCCAUCUCCA
rnacentral:tRNA from 1 species